rnacentral:rRNA from 1 species
CGAGCGGUAACGCGGGAGCAAUCCUGGCGACGAGCGGCGAACGGGUGAGUAAUGCUUCGGAAUCUUCCCAGUUGUGGGGAAUAACUAGCCGAAAGGUUAGCUAAUACCGCAUACGACCUACGGGUGAAAGCAGGGGAUCGCAAGACCUUGCGCUAUUGGAUGAGCCGAAGUCGGAUUAGCUAGUUGGUAGGGUAACGGCCUACCAAGGCGACAAUCCGUAGCUGGUCUGAGAGGACGACCAGCCACACUGGGACUGAGACACGGCCCAGACUCCUACGGGAGGCAGCAGUGGGGAAUAUUGGACAAUGGGGGAAACCCUGAUCCAGCGACGCCGCGUGUGUGAAGAAGGCCUGCGGGUUGUAAAGCACUUUUAGUGGGGAUGAAAAGCCGAAGGCUAAUACCUUUCGGUCUUGACCUAACCCACAGAAAAAGCACCGGCUAACUCUGUGCCAGCAGCNCGCGGUAAUACAGAGGGUGCAAGCGUUAAUCGGAAUUACUGGGCGUAAAGCGUGCGUAGACGGUUAUGUAAGUCAGAUGUGAAAGCCCCGGCUUAACCUGGGAAUGGCAUUUGAGACUGCAUAGCUAGGGUGCGGAAGAAGGAAGCGGAAUUUCCGGUGUANCNGGUGAAAUGCCUUAGAUAUCGGAAGGGACACCCAUUGGC